rnacentral:rRNA from 1 species
CCUGCCCGGUGACCUAGUGUUAAACGGCCGCGGUAUCCUAACCGUGCAAAGGUAGCGCAAUCAAUUGCCUCAUAAAUCGGGGCUUGUAUGAAUGGCUAAACGAGGUCUUAACUGUCUCUUACAGGCGAUCGGUGAAAUUGAUCUCCCUGUGCAAAAGCAGGGAUAACAACAUAAGACGAGAAGACCCUGUGGAACUUCAAAAUCAGCAGCCACCCUAGAACACAUUCAAUCCCACUGGGUUCACGCAUAUUAUAGGUAAUUGGCCUGCAUUUUUCGGUUGGGGCGACCUUGGAGAAAAACAAAUCCUCCAAAAAUUGGACCACACCUCCAGACUAAGAGCAACUUCUCAACGUGCUAAUAGUACCCAGACCCAAUAUAAUUGAUCAAUGGACCAAGCUACCCCAGGGAUAACAGCGCAAUCUCCUCCGAGAGUCCGUAUCGACGGGGAGGUUUACGACCUCGAUGUUGGAUCAGGACAUCCUAGUGGUGCAGCCGCUACUAAGGGUUC